ACCUGACUGGCUCUGUAGGUAGAGCAUAAGAUCUUCAUCUUGGGGUUGUGAGUUUGAGUCCCAUGUUGGGUA
rnacentral:tRNA from 1 species